rfam:Hordeum vulgare subsp. vulgare, WGS project CAJW01000000 data, contig: morex_contig_98975
GAAAUAUUUCCUCCGUCCAGAAAUACUUGUCCUAGAAAUAGAUAUAAUGGAUGUAUCUAUAACUAAAAUAAGUCUAGAUACAUUCAUCUCUAGAAUAAAUAUUUCCGGACGGAGGGAGUACUAC